GACGAACGCUGGCGGCGGGCCUAACACAUGCAAGUCGAAGGGGAUUCAUGAAGCUUGCUUCAUGAUGAGACUGGCGUACGGGUGAGUAACACGUAAACAAUCUGCCUACAGAAGGGGGAUAACUCCGGGAAACCGGGGCUAAUACCGCAUAAUGCAGCGGGGCCACAUGGCCACAGUUGUUAAAGCCUUUCGGGGCGUCUGUAGAUGAGUUUGCGCAGCAUUAGUUAGUUGGCGGGGUAACGGCCCACCAAGACGAUGAUGCUUAGGGGUUCUGAGAGGAUGAUCCCCCACACUGGCACUGAGACACGGGCCAGACUCCUACGGGAGGCAGCAGUGAGGGAUAUUGCGCAAUGGGCGAAAGCCUGACGCAGCCACGCCGCGUGCCGGAAGAAGGUUCUUUGAAUCGUAAAUGGCUUUUGUCGGGGAAGAAAGAUCUGGAUUGGUCCGGAUUUGACGGUACCCGUUGAAUAAGCACCGGCUAACUCCGUGCCAGCAGCCGCGGUAAUACGGAGGGUGCAAGCGCUGUCCGGAAUCAUUGGGUGUAAAGGGUGCGUAGGCGGAAGCUUAAGUCUGUGGUGAAAUCUUACCGCUCAACGGUAAAUGUGCCAUGGAUACUGGGUUUCUUGAGUGUGACAGAGGCAGGUGGAAUUCGUAGUGUAGCGGUGAAAUGCAUAGAUAUUACGAAGAACACCAGUGGCGAAGGCGGCCUGCUGGGUCACAACUGACGCUGANGCACGAGAGCGUGGGGAGCGAACAGGAUUAGAUACCCUGGUAGUCCACGCUGUAAACGAUGUAUACUANGUGUUGGGCGUCCUUCUGGGGCGUUCAGUGCUGCAGCUAACGCAUUAAGUAUACCACCUGGGGAGUACGUUCGCAAGAAUGAAACUCAAAGGAAUUGACGGGGGCCCGCACAAGCGGUGGAGCAUGUGGCUUAAUUCGAUGCAACGCGAAGAACCUUACCCGGGCUAAAUCUGUGAUGACCGCCCCCGAAAAGGGGCUUUCCUUCNGGACCAUCAUG
rnacentral:rRNA from 1 species